rnacentral:rRNA from 1 species
UACGAAGGGGGCUAGCGUUGUUCGGAAUUACUGGGCGUAAAGCGCGCGCAGGUGGUCUUUCAAGUCAGUGGUGAAAGCCCGGAGCUCAACUCCGGAAAUGCCAUUGAAACUGUGAGACUUGAGGAUGAGAGAGGUGAGUGGAAUUCCCAGUGUAGAGGUGAAAUUCGUAGAUAUUCGGAGGAACACCAGUGGCGAAGGCGGCUCACUGGCUCGGUACUGACGCUGAGGUGCGAAAGCGUGGGGAGCAAACAGG